UCGCUGGGUGAAUCCUGGUUACAACUCACAACUGAGUCAAGAAGCCAAAACCAAAUUGCCAGGCCCAGGAAGCAAUCAGAACAUGAGGAAAAAGCAAAGAUAUCACUGGAAAAACAGAACACACCCAUCGACAAGGUAAAGAUUACAGAGCUCAGAGAACUGAGGAACCUACCCAAGGUUGCCCAGCUAGCCAGUGGUAGAGACACUUCGACCGCUGGCUUUCUGACAGCAAGCACCCCUUUUGGCAGCAGGUAUGGGGCAAGGAGAACAGCAGGGGCCUGGGGCAGGUGUUGACAGAUCAAUGUGGACAUGUGGAAAGAAAGCCCAAAACCCCUCACCAAGAAAAGGUGGUGGACAUGUAGUUUUGUGAUUGCACUCAAGUUCCUCCGAGUUUUGUUUUUUCAACCAAGACAUUCAGAAAUCCAUAUUUCCUAUAGAGGAUUUAAGAAAUAGAAAAAUGAUGGCCGGGCGCGGUGGCUCAAGCCUGUAAUCCUAGCACUUUGGGAGACCGAGA